rnacentral:snoRNA from 1 species
UGGCAAUGGUGUGGACAAUCUCUCAGUAGCUUUUUGUACCUCUCCCAUGCCUGUCUAAGGGUUUCCCCCUCUCUCUGUUCAAAGCCCAAAAUUUGACUUCUCAGUGA